UUCUCUCAAUUUUUUAGUCUAAAAAGACAAAAAGUACACUUAUUUAGAACACCCCAAACAACUCCUAAAAUAACGUGUAUUUUAUUUUAAAAUCACAUAUCCUAAAAUGACGUCAUUUUGUUCCACUUUAAAAGAUAAUGCUAUAAAUCUUAAAUAAUCUAUCAAAUAUUUUACCAAAUAAGACCCAUACAACCACACGUAUAUAUAUGAAUCUCACACACAUAUAAAGAAUUUGAUAAAAUAUUUAAUAAAUUAUUUAAGAUCCCGACAUUACUCCACUUUAAAUCUAAAUCAUUGAAUUACCGACCACAACAAAAUUAUUGUGUGAUAUUGAACCCAUUUACGUGAGAAUUCGUUCUAGAAGAAUUUCAAAUAAUUUCAAAAUGUCUAAAAAUGUACAAACUUGGUAGGAAAACUUUUUUUCGGAAAAUUAUUUUUGAAAAUUGCUUCUAAAAACACUUUUAAAUUGCUUUCCAAAUUUUUAAAAAAUGAUUUUUGUAAAACAUAACAAACACAGUUUUUUAAACCCUUGAGGCUUUUUUUUUUUUUUUUUUUUUUUUCUCUCUCCUCUUCUCAACGUUCCUAACCUAACCAUCCUAUUUAUAGUAACUGUCCAACCUAAAAGACCCACUUUUUUUUUCUUUGGUAUUAGUUUUCUUUAUCCAAACAAUUUUAUUUUAUUUUUUAAUAAGAAAAUAAACUUAUAUUUUAUUUAAUUUUUAAUUAUCGUGUCACGUGCAUUGUUGAGAGAAGCGUCAUGUUGUAUCAGUUUGGGCUGGAUUGAAAAACCAUAAAUAGGCCCACAACCCAGUCCAGUAAGACUUUUUUUGUAUGAAACUCACGGAAUAAAAUAAUGGUUUCAAAAUAUGAAACCCUCAUUCGACCACUGUCGUGAGCAUUCAAAACCCUACUUCCACCACUGCAAUGGCAUCCGAAACCCUCAUUCCACCAUUGCUGUGAGCAUUCAAAACCUUCCUUCCACUACCACCGUGAGCGACGGUGCCAACAACAUUGCGGAUCUUUCAUCAAUGCCUCUUGAUUUCUUAUUGGAAACUUUUUAGUAUUCGAAAAUGGUUGUUACUAAAAACAAGCGUAAGGAUGGUGAGGAUGACGAUGAUUUUGAAGUUCCACUAACAGUUAUAGAAAAGAAGAAACUCCCUGAAAAGAGUAGCAAAAAAUCCAUGAGCAAUGUGGAUGAUGCAUGUGAUGAUGAUUUUGUGCUUGCAUCAAUGAGACUGAAAAAGUGCUACCCUAGUGAAGAUGAAGGCUCUCAUGAAAGCAAUCCAAUGCCUUCAACAAGAAAACCUUCAAAGUUGAAUAUUGUACAUGGCGUACGAGAGAGAGAGAAUUAUGUGAAACAAUAUAGGUCAAAUAUUGUUUCAUUAAUAAACCUAAUGCAAGACAUAAAGUUCACUGAAAGGUACAUUACUGCCCUCGAGAGAACAACUUUUGGGAUGUUAUUCAAAUCUUUUUGGAAUAAAGAACACCUUUUGGGAUGUUAUUCAAACCUUUUUGGAAGAAAGAAGAUGUGGUGUUGAAAAAGUUUAAGAUAGUUGACGAUAAUGUCAUGGAUGUGAUCAAGUGUUAUGAUUUUCAUGCAAAAGGAUUCACGCUUGGGGGGAAAACGUGUGACAUACAGGGACUGUGAUGUUACUUUGAUUUUUGGGAUAAAGUCGGGAACAAAAAAAAGUAGAUGUCUCAUAUGGGAAGAAACAAGAAACACCUUUUGUUCAGAGAAGGUUUCAUAAUAUGUCAAGAGUAUCCGUAAAGAUUUUGCGAGAGGCAUUAGGAGAUACAUUGGAAGGCACAACAACAGUUGAUGUUAAGGAUGUUGCAUGAAUAAUAUGUUUAUUCAUUGCGGCAACUUUGUUAUUCCCAAUAACCGGUCUAACAAUUAGAUAGGCUUUUGUCGCCCUUGUAGAAGAUUUGGAAAUAAUGAAUUCAUAUGCAUGGUCAAGUGCAGUUGCAUCCACAUUGACUACUUCAAUCCAGUCUUCAUCAAGAAGUCCUGAAAAUAUGACUGGAUGACUACUUCUUCUUUUGCACACUACCCUCAUUCAACCUGAAGACAAAAAUUUGUGUCCAAGGCUCCUUCAAUAGGACUUAUCAAAGUUGAGGAAAAAGCUAAUGAAGAGGUCAUUGCAAAAUCUAAAGCCUGAAGAGGAAAUAGAGUAUAUGUUACAUUGCACGAUGUGGAUGCAAUUCUAAGACAUGGUGAUACUGCAAAUAAUGUCAUUGAGAGUUUUGUAGAAAUGCUUCAAAUUGAGCAACAAGCAAAGAAGCUAGAAAAGAAUAAGUCAUUCUUUUUCUCAAACCUUUGUUGGUCACUAGUGAAAUGGGGUUAUGGUGAUUUGAGAAAUCAUUUAAUUGAUGAAGUGCUUGAGCAAGAUUUGAGUGGAUACAGAUUCUUUCACUUUUGCAUGAAAAACCCUAUCACUAGACACUGCUUGUAUUGGACACUGAAUUUGAUGAGUGGAGGCAUUACAAUUCUUUAAGGCCAAGAGACAACAAAGAUGAUUCUUACCUUAAGGAUGCAAAAUAGAUUGUAAGUGUUUUGCAUCAUAUUAACAGUAAAUUUUUACUGUGUUUUAUUCUUGUAUUUAAUUGUGACCAAACAAUUAUGCAAUGAUGUUAGAUAACAUAUGUAGAGAAAAAGUUGGGCAACAAAAGGAAGAGAGGUACAAGAAAGUUUGCAAACUUGGUUUCGGUAAAAGAUAGUCCACAACAAUGCCCAACAUCCAGUACAUGAAAAGUGGGAUAUUGCAACGGUUCUUUUAUGGCAUUUAUGGAAACGCCACUAUAAAUUAAUGAAACACAAUGUUUUGAAAAAUGUUGUCUCUGAUCUCAGUGAAACGGCGCCGUAUUGGGUCAAUGUAUUGACCGUCCAAACCUUUGUCUUUUUCAACUCAGUCUCUCUCUUUCUUAGUCUUUACCACAACUCAAUCAUCCUCUCUUCCAAAACCCUCGAUUUGAAGCUCUCAUUCUCAACCCUCAAUUUGAAGUUCUCACUCUCUCUUACUCAAUUUCAAACACACAUUCUCGCUCCCUUGCUCAAUUUCAAACACACACACUCUCAUUCUCAACCCUCGAUUUGCUUGAUUGCAGAUUCCAAAACCCUCGAUGGUUUGGGCUUCAUCAAUCUCUGUCGCUCACAAUUGAAGUCUCUAGCUAUUCUUCAUCGAUCUCUGUUACUCGAGGGCUUUGCUCUAGCUGUUCUUCAUCGAACUCAAACUCGAAGUCGAUCUGUUCUUCAUCAAAUCACAGAUCCAAAAUCCAAAAUCGAUCUGUUCUUUAUCAAAUGACAGAUCUAAAAUCCAAAAUCGAUAUGUUCUAGCUUAGCUCUCUUGCUCUUAUAUCAGGUACAUUUUUCAUUCUCUACUUUCUCAUUAUCAAAUCGUUGAUUAACUCUGUAAUUUUUCAUUCUUUAGUUAAAAAAAAAAAACUAGUUUAUAUAAUUUGUGAUGAUCUUACUAUUCUAGUUCUUUAGAUUAUUUAUGAUUUUAGCGUUGCAAUAUGUUUGUGUUUCAUUGUUUACUCGGCGACUUCUCUUCUGAAUAUUCUGCCAAGAUGAUUCUCCAAGGAUUCCACUAUGGAUACAAUGUUGUAUACAAUUUCAUUCUUCUAACCAGGCUGGUACUGAACUUUUUCAUUGCUUUUUUUUUUUUUUUUUGGUCAUGUUGUUUGAUGUUUUGUAAGGUACACAAAUUAAAGUUUUGUACUUGUUUAUGGUCUCUAAUUGACUUUUGUAUAUCACUUGUUUGACAAACUAUGUUGUUUUGUUAGUCUGGAAAUACACUAGAAACUAUGGUGUGGUUAAAUUGUUGGCAAUUUGUUGUCUGUUUUUAGAUUUUAAUAUUUCCAAGAUCAUUGUUGUAAUGUGUAUGAUGAACACAAAGAAUAAAUAGUCAUCAACGGCUAGAUAAGGAAGAAGUUUAAUGAUCUAGCUAAAUUAUAGGGUUGUUCAUGGAGAUAACCCCUUUGCGAUGUCCACGAAAGCCUCUGCUUGAAUGAAUUUGUCUCAUUUUAUAAUUAUUAUUAUUAUUAUUGUUAUUUUUGGGUUUAUUCAUGCAAAAAAUGCCUAAUCCGAGUUCAUUGGUUUAAGCUCGGGUACGUCUUAGGCAUGCCAAUUUAGGAUAAAGUUUAGGCUUAGGUCAGGCCCAAGUUUGGUUGGUUGCCACGUAAUUAUUCAUUUACACUUGUAAUGGUUAGCCUUCUAUCAUUAUAAACCAGUUCCAUUACAAUAUUGUGGGUAAGAAUUCUAGUUUGUUUGUAGCUAUCCAGUAUAUGAAGUUGUUUGGUUUGAAAAACAUAUAUAUAUAUAUAUAUAUGUUGCAUCUUAUUGUUUUUAAUUUUUUCUAGGGUGAUUAAUUUUGCUUUCUCAGAACCGCAUAAAAGGGUUUCAUUGUGUAUCUACUGGGUGGCUGUUAUAUGUGUGUCUGUCCAACGGUUUUACAACAUUUCAAAGAAUAGUAAGAUUGAGAGGAUUCUUCUUCGAAAAUACUACCAUCUGAUGGUUGUUUUAAUGUUUCUGCCUGCUCUUAUCUUCCAGGUGAUUUGGGAUUCACACAAUGAUCUUCUCUGUAUCCUUUCUUUUUAAUUGUUAGUUCUCAUAGUAGUUUUUGAAGUUAUGUGGACUUCAUUUUUGUUUCCAGCCGAAGUUUCUUGAUCUGGCAUUUGGUGCAGCUUUGGCAGUAUUCCUAGUCUUGGAAAUUGUUCGAUUAAGUUCAUUGAAUUUGCACGUACUAUUGUUCUUGACUUUUUCUUUGCUAUAUACUAGAAAAAUGACGGUGCUAAAAGUCAUUGCCUUUGCUCAUGUUUAAUAUUCUUGGGUUCAAAUGUCAACACUGCAGUCUGCAGAACUUAUUUCAUAUGAAAUUAAAGUAUUUAUGCAUUGUAAGAAAAUAAAAUAAAUAGAAGGGGAAAGUGUGGGCAAAUUUUGUGGAACAUUGGAAAUUUUUAAACUUCAAGAGCACUUUGUAAUUUUACAUGUUUACUUUUCAUAUGGUAUAUCAAAUGCUUGUUUGAAACUAUUGAAAAUGAUAUCCAGGAGAUAAUUAACAAGCUAACCAUGCUUACAUGGAUAUUGGGGGAUAUAUUGCAAAUCUUGCAGAAAAUAAAUGAAAAUGCUUUCAGAUAUUGUGACUUGUAAAUUGUCUAUCAUGACACAAGAUUCAUUGUUUUUGUUUAUUUUUGAUUCAUUGCUUUUAUAGAAAUCCAAAUUAUGGGGGAUAUCAUUUCAUCAUCCAUCCAGAAGUUAAUCUAAAAAGUUUAUCCCAACUUGUUUUGACAGAUUUAUGAAAGCAAUUUUGUAUUUAUCUCCCCAAAGUGACUCAUUGCAACACUCUAGUUGUUCUUAUUGAAAGCUGGGUCUUAGUUCGUUUAGAUGCUUAAACACAUUAUAAUGGUUUUGGUAAAGCUUGCAUAACCAUAACUUUGGUAGACAGGUAUGGAGAAUUCAACCUUUAGGGCUAUUUGUACAUCAGUUUAUGAAUGCGUUUACAGACCACCAUGACUCAGAUCUUCUUAUUUGAUGUGUUUUUCAUUUUUCAGCCAUUUUUCACUCUUAUUGGGCUGUGCACUUCCCAUCUGGAUGUCUUCUAGGUUCAAUGAUCGACCUCUUGCUGCUUUUACUGGAAUUUUGAGCCUUGGAAUUGGAGAUACAAUGGCGUGUUUUCUAGUUUCUAUGUACUAUUAUGUACUAUUGAAAUGUAGUAACUUGUGUGGAGUCGUAUCUUUUUCAUUCUUGACAUUCCUACAUAGUCUUACAAUAAUUGGCUCUCUUACUGUGAGAUCAAACAAGAAAUAGCAGCUCUAUUGUUUUGCAUAGUCCAAAGUUUCUUGACAUACAGAAAAAUUACUUGAUGCAGGGGAUACUAGCAUUGAGAACUUGACUUACAUGUGAAUAUUUUCAUCUAGUUUUGACAUUGAAAUGUGUUCUUGCAUGACAGACUUCAUUGAAUAAUGUUUGAACUGUUUAUUCAGAAACCUUUACUCUAGACUGAUGAUAACCUGUUAUAGAGAAUUCAUAGAAAACACUCUUUUUGUUUUUAUCUUGUUGAAAAUGAAAAUUAUGAACAAUAUUAUGUUUAUUGGAAGGAUUAAGGGCAAAUGCUGCUUUUCUUUAUCAGUAGACUGAACUCUGUGACCAAAUUUUGGCCUAGGGAUUUUACAGGAUACACGGUGUUUGGGCCUCUUAUAGCGACCAACUAAUUUUCAGUUCCUCAGGACCUCCACUGCCUAACACGUAGUUCUUGGCUUUUCUCAUAUAUCUCUUGGAGUUAUGGACGUAGUGGGUUAUUUCAUUUGCCUUCACAUUGUACUUGUAUUUACUUCUUAUGGUGAUUGAGCUUGUGGUAAUUAUUUCAUUUUCCUUGACAUUGCACUUGUAUUCAACACUGUUGCAGUUUAAUACAAAUGCUGGCGAGUUGAUGAAGAAAUUUGUUUUGGCAUCAAUUGGAAAAAAUGGAGAGAGUAGAAGGCUAGAGUUAAAAAAUUGGGUAUGUGCCAUUCGACAAUGAUGCUGAUAGGUUAACUCAUCGACCCGAAAGAGUACAUGAGCAUCAAUGGUGGAGCUUAGUAUAUUAUUGGGGCACUCGGAAGGCACAGAAAAAAUGUACGAAAACAAAAAAAUUCGGAAGAAAAAGACAUUAAAUCACAUAACCGGCUGAAAACCAUUCUCAGUUGUUCGAGUAGAGGAAACAAAAAAGAAGAAUGGAAUUCCUGCAACUCACUUAGAGGUGUGGAUGGAUGGGUACUCAAAGGAUAAAACACCAAAUACUGAUAAAGUUGCUAAGGUCAUGGCCAAAGAAGAGGAGGAGCUCCCUGAGUACAUUUUUGGAACUGUUCGACUAAUUCGUGUGAAGCUCGAUUCUGCUGUACCUUUUGAAGUUUGAAAUAUUUUGAUACAUCAACAUGCUUUGAUCAUCAUAUUUACACAAGUAAUUGGCAUUAUUGUAACCAAGUACAUUCCAAUGAUUUCCAGAUUCUGGUGUGAAUUAUUGUUCUUAUAAUUUGGACCAGACAUUGAAAAUUCAAUCAUAGAUCACCCAACAUUGGUUCCAAUGAGUA